rnacentral:rRNA from 1 species
CACGUAGGGCGCAAGCGUUGUCCGGAAUUAUUGGGCGUAAAGAGCUCGUAGGCGGUCUGUUACGUCUGCUGUGAAAACCCGGGGCUUAACCCUGGGCUUGCAGUGGAUACGGGCAGACUAGAGGCAGGUAGGGGAGAAUGGAAUUCCCGGUGUAGCGGUGAAAUGCGCAGAUAUCAGGAGGAACACCGAUUGCGAAGGCAGCUCGCUGGGACGUCACUGACGCUGAGACGCGAAAGCGUGGGGAGCAAACAGG